GAGGGUAUAGCUCAAGUGGUAGAGCACAUGCUUAGCAUGCACGAGGUCCUGGGUUCACUCCCCAGUACCUACA
rnacentral:tRNA from 1 species